rnacentral:rRNA from 1 species
GAUGAACGCUAGCUACAGGCUUAACACAUGCAAGUCGAGGGGAAACGACAUCGAAAGCUUGCUUUUGAUGGGCGUCGACCGGCGCACGGGUGAGUAACGCGUAUCCAACCUGCCCACCACUUGGGGAUAACCUUGCGAAAGUAAGACUAAUACCCAAUGAUAUCCCACGAAGGCAUCCGAAUGGGAUUAAAGAUUUAUCGGUGAUGGAUGGGGAUGCGUCUGAUUAGCUUGUUGGCGGGGUAACGGCCCACCAAGGCAACGAUCAGUAGGGGUUCUGAGAGGAAGGUCCCCCCACAUUGGAACUGAGACACGGUCCAAAACUCCUACGGGAGGCAGCAGUGGGGAAUAUUGGUCAAUGGGCGAGAGCCUGAACCAGCCAAGUAGCGUGCAGGACGACGGCCCUAUGGGUUGUAAACUGCUUUUAUAAGGGAAUAAAGUGGGUCACGUGUGACUUUUUGCAUGUACCUUAUGAAUAAGGACCGGCUAAUUCCGUG